AUUGAACGCUAGCGGCAGGCUUAACACAUGCAAGUCGAACGAUGUAGCAAUACAUAGUGGCGCACGGGUGAGUAACGCGUGGGAAUGUACCAUUUGGUGGGGAAUAACUUUGGGAAACUAAAGCUAAUACCGCAUACGCCCGAGAGGGGAAAGAUUUAUCGCCAAAUGAUCAGCCCGCGUGAGAUUAGGUAGUUGGUGGGGUAAUGGCCUACCAAGCCUACGAUCUCUAGCUGGUCUGAGAGGAUGAUCAGCCACACUGGAACUGAGACACGGUCCAGACUCCUACGGGAGGCAGCAGUGGGGAAUAUUGGGCAAUGGAGGAAACUCUGACCCAGCCAUGCCGCGUGAAUGAUGAAGGCCUUAGGGUUGUAAAGUUCUUUCGCCGAUGAAGAUAAUGACGGUAGUCGGAGAAGAAGCCCGGCUAGCUUCGUGCCAGCAGCCGCGGUAAU
rnacentral:rRNA from 1 species